CCUACGGGGUGCAGCAGUGAGGAAUAUUGGUCAAUGGGCGUAAGCCUGAACCAGCCAAGUCGCGUGAGGGAUGAAGGUUCUAUGGAUCGUAAACCUCUUUUAUAAGGGAAUAAAGUGUGGGACGUGUCCUGUUUUGUAUGUACCUUAUGAAUAAGGAUCGGCUAACUCCGUGCCAGCAGCCGCGGUAAUACGGAGGAUCCGAGCGUUAUCCGGAUUUAUUGGGUUUAAAGGGUGCGUAGGCGGCCUUUUAAGUCAGCGGUGAAAGUCUGUGGCUCAACCAUAGAAUUGCCGUUGAAACUGGGAGGCUUGAGUAUGUUUGAGGCAGGCGGAAUGCGGGGUGUAGCGGUGAAAUGCUUAGAUAUCACGCAGAACCCCGAUUGCGAAGGCAGCCUGCCAAGCCAUGACUGACGCUGAUGCACGAAAGCGUGGGGAUCAAACAGGAUUAGAUACCCGGGUAGUC
rnacentral:rRNA from 1 species